rnacentral:rRNA from 1 species
UACCUGCAGCUCAAGUGGUGACCACUAUUAUUGGGCCUAAAACGUCCGUAGCCGGCUUAGUAAAUGCCUGGGUAAAUCGCAUAGCUCAACUAUGCGAAUUCCGGGUAGACUGCUAAGCUUGAGACCGGGAGAGGCUAGAGGUACUCCUAGGGUAGAGGUGAAAUUCUGUAAUCCUAGGGGGACCACCAGUGGCGAAGGCGUCUAGCUAGAACGGGUCUGACGGUGAGGGACGAAGCCCUGGGGCGCAAACCGGAUUAGAUACCCCCGUA